rnacentral:rRNA from 1 species
UACGUAGGAGGCGAGCGUUGUCCGGAAUUACUGGGCGUAAAGCGCGCGUAGGCGGCGCCGUACGACCCGUGUGAAAGCCCCCGGCUCAACUGGGGAGGGUCACGGGUUACGGCGGUGCUCUGAGUGCAGGAGAGGGGAGUGGAACUCCGGGAGUAGCGGUGAAAUGCGUAGAGACCCGGAGGAACACCAGUGGCGAAGGCGGCUCCCUGGCCUGCGACUGACGCUGUGGCGCGAAAGCUGGGGGA